rnacentral:rRNA from 1 species
CAGUAGCCACGGUAAUACGAAGGGUGCAAGCGUUAAUCGGAAUUACUGGGCGUAAAGCGUGCGUAGGCGGUUUGUUAAGUCUGUUGUGAAAUCCCCGGGCUCAACCUGGGAAUGGCAAUGGAUACUGGCAAGCUAGAGUGUGUCAGAGGAUGGUGGAAUUCCCGGUGUAGCGGUGAAAUGCGUAGAGAUCGGGAGGAACAUCAGUGGCGAAGGCGGCCAUCUGGGACAACACUGACGCUGAGGCACGAAAGCGUGGGGAGCAAACAGGAUUAGAUACCCCAGUAGUCCCUGUCUCUUAUAC